GCCGGUUUAGCUCAAUGGUUCGAGCGCUGCGUUGUGAACGCGGAUAUCUCGGCUCGACUCCGAGGGCCGGUACCA
rnacentral:tRNA from 1 species